GAUGAACGCUAGCGGCAGGCUUAACACAUGCAAGUCGAGGGGCAGCAUUUCUAGCUUGCUAGAAGAUGGCGACCGGCGCACGGGUGCGUAACGCGUAUGCAACCUACCUCUUACUGAAGAAUAGCCCGGAGAAAUCCGGAUUAAUGCUUCAUAGUAUUUAUUAUCUGCAUGGAUUUAUAAAUUAAAGGUUACGGUAAGAGAUGGGCAUGCGUCCCAUUAGCUAGAUGGUAAGGUAACGGCUUACCAUGGCAACGAUGGGUAGGGGGCCUGAGAGGGUGAUCCCCCACACUGGUACUGAGACACGGACCAG
rnacentral:rRNA from 1 species